rnacentral:rRNA from 1 species
UACAGGGGGUGCAAACGUUGCUCGGAAUCAUUGGGCGUAAAGCGCACGUAGGCGGUUCGUUAUGUCGGAUGUGAAAGCCCUUGGCUUAACCGAGGAAGUGCAUCCGAAACUGGCGAGCUAGAGUACGAAAGAGGAUCGCGGAAUUCCCGGUGUAGAGGUGAAAUUCGUAGAUAUCAGGAGGAACACCGGUGGCGAAGGCGGGUCUCUCGGCAAUAACUGACGCUGAGGAGCGAAAGCGUGGGGAGCGAACAGG